CGCAUCACCCCGGGGAGGCAGCUCCACCAUCAUCGCCUUGAGUGCUGAUGGGCGAACGGAAAGCCUGAGAGGUGUGGGUAUGCUCCACACGACCCGUCGAACCUGAACCGAUUAGCAUCGGCGGAGGGAGUGGUCUGGUCGGCAUCC
rnacentral:ncRNA from 1 species